rnacentral:rRNA from 1 species
GACGAACGCUGGCGGCGUGCUUAACACAUGCAAGUCGAACGGAAAGGCCCUGCUUUUGUGGGGUGCUCGAGUGGCGAACGGGUGAGUAACACGUGUGUAACCUGCCCUUGACUUUGUGAUAACUUCUGGAAACUGGGGCUAAUACCUGAUAGGAGCUCCUGCUGCAUGGUGGGGGUUGGAAAGUUUCGGCGGUUGGGGAUGGACUCGCGGCUUAUCAGCUUGUUGGUGGGGUAGUGGCUUACCAAGGCUUUGACGGGUAGCCGGCCUGAGAGGGUGACCGGCCACAUUGGGACUGAGAGACGGACCAGACUCCUACGGGAGGCAGCAGUGGGGAAUAUUGCACAAUGGGGGGAAGCCUGAUGCAGCAACGCCGCGUGCGGGAUGACGGCCUUCGGGUUGUAAACCGCUUUCGCCUGUGACGAAGCGUGAGUGACGGUAAUGGGUAAAGAAGCACCGGCUAACUACGUG